rnacentral:rRNA from 1 species
GGAUUCCCCUAGUAACUGCGAGUGAAGAGGGAAAAGCUCAAAUUUAAAAUCUGGCGGGCUCUGUCCGUCCGAGUUGUAAUCUGGAGAAGCGUUUUCCGCGUCGGACCGUGCAUAAGUCUCCUGGAACGGAGCGUCAUAGAGGGUGAGAAUCCCGUCCAUGGCACGGACCGCCGAUGCUUUGUGAUACGUUUUCAAAGAGUCGAGUUGUUUGGGAAUGCAGCUCAAAAUGGGUGGUAAAUUCCAUCUAAAGCUAAAUAUUGGCGAGAGACCGAUAGCGAACAAGUACCGUGAGGGAAAGAUGAAAAGCACUUUGGAAAGAGAGUUAAACAGUACGUGAAAUUGUUGAAAGGGAAACGCUUGAAGUCAGUCGCGUCCGACGGAACUCAGCCUUGCUUCGGCCUGGUGUACUUUCUGUCGGACGGGUCAACAUCAGUUUUGAUCGGUGGAGAAAGGUAGGGGGAAUGUAGCGCUGUUUCGGUGGCGUGUUAUAGCCCCUUGCUGUAUGCAUCGGUUGGGACUGAGGACCGCAGCACGCCUUUUUGGCCGGGGGUUCGCCCCACGUACCGUGCUUAGGAUGUUGGCAUAAUGGCUUUAAGCGACCCGUCUUGAAACACGGACCAAGGAGUCCAACAUGCUUGCGAGUGUUCGGGUGGAAAACCCUUGCGCGUAAUGAAAGUAACAGUUGGGAACCUCCGCAAGGGGGUGCACCGACGCCCGGCCCUGAAGUUCUCUGACGGUGCUGCGGUAGAGCAAGUAUGCUGGGACCCGAAAGAUGGUGAACUAUGCCUGAAUAGGGCGAAGCCAGAGGAAACUCUGGUGGAGGCUCGUAGCGAUUCUGACGUGCAAAUCGAUCGUCAAAUUUGGG